UGUAGUAUAUGAUACUUUACCAACUUAUGAUACUUUACCAACUUCAGCAAAGUGUUCCUGUCUCUCAUGUUAAUUUAUUAUUUAGAAAGGCACAUUUUCCUGAUCAAGACCUAUUUUGUUUUUUCCAGACAGCUUCCAAUACAUCGAAGCCCAAGGUCAUUACCAAGGCCACUGUGAGUGUUAAAAACUGGAAUUAUUUAACGUUUAUUAAUGAAGUUUAUGUCUAACUAUUUUUACUACAUAAUAUUACCAUCAAUCAAUCAAAGUUAUCUUGUUAACCUAAACUGCAUAAUUGUAGAUACACUGAUAUCAUUUAAUAGACAAUAGUGACUUCAUUGUUUUUGUUUUUGAAACGUAUUUAAAGUGAAACAAUAUCUAUGAGUACUUAAACAUUGAACAUUAAUUUAUAAUUAAAUGACAAGUGACACACUCCAUCAUCCUCUACUUUAUUCAAGCAAGAAAAAUAGUCUUGCGAUUCAAUUUGAUUUCACACGAGAGAAUAUAAGGAAUUAAAUGAAUGGCAAUAAUUGUAAACACAUAGCACACAUGAUUAAAUGGCACUCAUAAAAAGGCAUGAUAUCAAAUAAGACAUGCUGUUACUCAAUAUAAAGAGAAUGGCAGGAAUUAGUUUACUAAGAGUCAGUAUCACUUGUGACAUAUACAUUACAUUCAAAUAGAGUGAUGCAAAAAGGAGUCUCUGUUCUUUCCUAACAGAUCCAAAACCAGACAUUACAGUCCAAUUUGAUGAGGACUUCACCAUCAUCUGUUUGAUUCCUGGAUCCGUCAGUCCUGACACCACCUGUAACCUGUAUGUUGGAGAGGAGAGUCAGCCAUCCUUCACAGCAAAGAUCAAGAAGAGAAAAGCCACCUCAGCAUCCGGACAGGAGUUCUGUCAAUUCACUCCAAAUCAUAGUGAUCUGAUCAGUCGUCUACAGUCAGUGAGGAGUAAGGAGGUGAGCUGUGACUACGGAGUGAGCUCAGGACCAAACUCUCUCUCUCCACGCAGUGAUGGGUACAACUUUACAGAUCUGGUGGGAGUUCACAUUAGUGAUCCAACAACUAAACACUUUCCAGCAGGUAGGAUACACAUUAGUUUUGUUUCUUUUUUUAAAUGUACUUUGUUUUCGUCAGCCGGUGAUUGUCAAGCAAAUAACUGUCGGUCUCACGGUAAUUGA
rnacentral:lncRNA from 8 species